AGAGUUUGAUCCUGGCUCAGAACAAACGCUGGCGGCGUGCCUAACACAUGCAAGUCGUACGUGAAAGUUCCGCAAGGAACGAGUAAAGUGGCGAACGGGUGAGUAAUACAUAGGUAAUCUACUUAUAAGUUCGGGAUAACAGUUCGAAAGGAUUGCUAAUACCGGAUAAUGUGCUUAGUCAAAAGAUUAAGCGCCAAAGGUGGCCUCUUCACAAUGCUAUCGAUUAUAAAUGAGCCUAUGGACCAUUAGUUAGUUGGCAGGGUAAUAGCCUACCAAGACAAAGAUGGUUAGCUGGUCUGAGAGGAUGACCAGCCACACUGGAACUGAAACACGGUCCAGACUCCUACGGGAGGCAGCAGUGGGGAAUAUUGCGCAAUGGGGGAAACCCUGACGCACAACGCCGUGUGAGCGAUGAAGGCCUUCGGGUUGUAAAGCUCUGUUAAAUAAGAAGAAACUCCCAUAUUCUAAUACAAUAUGGGAUUGACGGUAUUAUUAGAGAAAGCACCGGCUAACUCCGUGCCAGCAGCCGCGGUAAGACGGAGGGUGCAAGCGCUGUUCGGAAUUACUGGGCGUAAAGGGCGUGUAGGCGGUCUAUAAGUUAGGUGUGAAAUCUUCCGGCUCACCUGAAAAGUGCCUUAAAACUGUUAACUAGAGAGGGCAGGGGAAAGCGGAUUCCUAGUGUAGAGUGAAUUCUAAUUUAAGAAGACACCGGCCGCAAAGCGGCUUCUGACAUUCUACCUAAACGCGAAGCUGGGACAACAGAUAAUCCUGGAGUCCCUUACCAUUCACAGUUUGACGGUACUGUCAACACUACUAGUCACGCUGGAUCGCCAGUAAUCAGAUCGGCCCCAAGAUGUAUCUACGACUCUCUUCGG
rnacentral:rRNA from 1 species